UACAGAGGGUGCGAGCGUUGUUCGGAAUUAUUGGGCGUAAAGCGCAUGUAGGCGGUCUGUUAAGUCGCGUGUGAAAGCUCCAGGCUCAACCUGGAAAGUGCGCGCGAAACUGGCGGACUUGAGUGCCGGAGAGGGUAGUGGAAUUCCCGGUGUAGUGGUGAAAUGCGUAGAUAUCUGGAGGAACACCGGUGGCGAAGGCGGCAUCCUGGACCGGCAUUGACGCUGAGGCGCGAAAGCUAGGGGAGCAAACGGG
rnacentral:rRNA from 1 species